GUGCCAGCCGCCGCGGUAAUACCGGCAGCUCAAGUGAUGACCGAUUUUAUUGGGCCUAAAGCGUCCGUAGCUGGCCGCGCAAGUCUGUCGGGAAAUCCACCCGCUUAACGGGUGGGCGUCCGGCGGAAACUGUGCGGCUUGGGACAGGAAGGCUCGAGGGGUACGUUCGGGGUAGGAGUGAAAUCCCGUAAUCCUGAACGGACCACCGAUGGCGAAAGCACCUCGAGAGGACUGAUCCGACAGUGAGGGACGAAAGCUAGGGUCUCGAACCGGAUUAGAUACCCCCGUAGUC
rnacentral:rRNA from 1 species